AGCGAGAGCGACAGGAUUUCAAACUCCGCAUAAUAGGCAGAGCCUUCCAUGUGGACCUGGCUGGAAAGCAACCAGUGCAGGCUACAAAGGACUAUGUUAGCAAGGGCCACUAUGGUCGUAGCAGAAAAUACAUUAGAACGGCUGCCCACCUCCCAAACCUGACUGAAGGAAUCAUCUGGCUCGUCCGGAUGAGGACUUCAGCGUGGUGGUCCACCAGAAGGCGUAGGGAUUACCUGCGUCACACUGGCCAAGACCACUCACAUCUACCCUUGAACAGAUGCCCGUUCUGUAAAAAUGCGCUCCCGGAGAUGGAGAUUCAACACAUCUUGCUUGAUUGCAGACAGUGGAAGAAAGAGAGGGACCUGUGGCUCCGGCCACUUCUAUCAUUAUACGAGAAACAGCUUGUGGACAACGCCUACGGUGCGUUGGAUCCUGAUUAUGCACAAGAAGAGAUGGUACACCGACUCCUCGGGGGUUGGUUUGUUGAGGGUGAAAAGGGACAUUAUGCUUUGAACGUCGACCCAAAACUCUCAGUCUUAACCGACCUUGCGAAAGGUUGGGGCGGAGUGGGGGAGUAUCAAACCUAUGGGCUCGGUGCCCAUGGGUAUAUCCCAGUGGCCAAGUUUCUUGCGGCGGUUAUGCCCAAGCAUAAGGCCCGUCUCUUCCCGGAAGGGAGGAGGCAAAGGGACGGUGUGGCAUACGGGACUACGGCUGAGGAGGAAUCCCCGGUGAAGUCCAGUGACCACGUGGCGGUGCCAGAUGCUGUUGAAGAUGGUGGUGAGUGUUACUACCAACGCAGCAGAACGCCGCUCGAUGAUGAGCUUUCUUAUCAAACUCUCCAAGCCGAAGCCCUGAGGGGUAGGGCAUGCGUACGCACACACGCGAUUCUCGACCUAGACUCAAGCCCGGAAGGCUCGGUCGGGGAAUACAUGGGCAACCUUGGGUACGAGUCUCCACUAGCACUGAAGACUCGCCGCCGACAGGUUGAUCAAGGGGUAUUUUAACCGGUUCUGAUUUUCGGGAAUCAAUGAAGAUUAACAAUCCGGUAGAGCUGAAAGGGGGACCCAAUGUCACGGGACGCCCCCUAGAUGCCGUUGCGAAGGCGUCCACAAGGACGGGCUGGUCAACUCCUACCCUCAGGAAGAAGACGCGUUCCUGGAAGGAAUGGAUUAACGAGAUUCCCACUGUCCCUAUCUACUAUCUAGCGAAACCACAGCCAAGGGAACGGGCUUGGCAGAAUCAGCGGGGAAAGAAGACCCUGUUGAGCUUGACUCUAGUUUGACAUUGUGAAAAGACAUAGAGGGUGUAGCAUAAGUGGGAGCUUCG
rnacentral:ncRNA from 1 species